rnacentral:lncRNA from 1 species
GGAUCUGUUAGUGUUUAGUAAAGGGGUUGUGGACCUAGUUUUUGGUAACCACUCAAGCAGACAUAAAAUUUAAAUUAUUAAUUAAUCGCAAUCGUGGACGAGUUAGAAGGUUAAGGUGUGGCAAUGGGUAUAUGCAUGUCUAAGAUUAGAUCUAGGGAGAGCUUGGUACUUAAGCGGUCUUAAUAACUUACCUCCUCUUCUCUAGAAUCCUACCUGGUGCAUAGUAUCUGUUCACUUUAGCCAACAAGAACUUGUUAAUGGGCC